GAUGAAGAACGCAGCGAAAUGCGAUAAGUAAUGUGAAUUGCAGAAUUCAGUUAAUCAUCGAAUCUUUGAACGCACAUUGCGCCCGCCAGUAUUCUGGCGGGCAUGCCUGUUCGAGCGUCAUUUCAACCAUCAAGCCCCCGGCUUGUGUUGGGGACCUGCGGCUGCCGCAGGCCCUGAAAACCAGUGGCGGGCUCGCUAGUCACUCCGAGCGUAGUAAUACAUCUCGCUCAGGGCGUGCUGCGGGUUCCGGCCGUUAAAAAGCCUUAUUUACCCAAGGUUGACCUCGGAUCAGGUAGGAAGACCCGCUGAACUUAAGCAUAUCAAUAAGCGGAGGA
rnacentral:misc_RNA from 1 species